GGAGCGGUAGUUCAGCUGGUUAGAAUACCUGCCUGUCACGCAGGGGUCGCGGGUUCGAGUCCCGUCCGUUCCGCCA
rnacentral:tRNA from 4 species